rnacentral:lncRNA from 1 species
CGUCCUUAAACCCUGCCCUCUCGAACCAUUUCAUGUACUCUUCCUCCGUGGGGAAGAGCAUCCACAUGUCAGCGAAGAAGCGAGAUAGCCAAAAUGUCGGACGGACGGGGCCUAUCAUACAAGCCACGCCGUCGGCGGUCAGGACCCUGUAGGCCUCCCUGAUCCCCCGUUGUGGAUCAGGCCAAUACUCAAUGCUGCCGUGUAUAUGGAGGCCAAAAACAAGAACUCAAUCAUUGGAUAUAUAUAUAUAUGUCAACUUAAAGUCUAAGGAGAGGUACUAGAGGAGAUUGUCUAUAACCCACCUGCCAGCGGAGACGUAUCGGUCGAAGGUGUCGGUGGGGAAGGGAAGGUCCUCGGCGUCACCCUUCAUGAUCUUGAUGCCCCUUAGGGCCUUCUUCUUUCUGGCCUUGUCGAGUUGGUGCGGCG